AUGCUCACUUCAGCAGCACAUAUAUGAAAGUUGGAAUAGUACAGACAAGAUUCGUAUGACCUUUGUGCAAGGAUGACAUGCAUAUUUAUAAGGCAGUCCUUUUUAUC
ensembl:snRNA U6 U6 spliceosomal RNA